AUGUACAAAGCUCUACUGGAAUUUACUCAUCCAAACAUACUGAAGCCAGUGGGUAUUUGGGAGGACCCACACUGCCAUGACGUAGCAUAUAUAGUGUUUAGGGGAGUUGACGGCACAAUGGCACAACUUGGAGGACAAACAAUGUUUGAGGAAGGUAACCCUUACAAUGGCUUCUCUGAACACGGCUUUAAAAUGUUCAGGGCUAUCUUCUCCACUAUUGAUCAUGUCAACAGUCAUUAUGCUGGUGAGGGUACAUCCAGUGCAAGAAACACACAACUCGAGUUGAUAAUGAAAAUACGGCUUGACCAGGCGAACAUAUAUUACAAGAUGGUGGAUGGCGAGCCAUUGGUGUUAUUAGGAAAUAUGGACAUAUAUUAUCAAGGAGGUAAUUUAAACCUUCAAGUUCACAUUAUCCUUUUUUUCUUCUUCUGA
rnacentral:rRNA from 1 species